rnacentral:rRNA from 1 species
GACGAACGCUGGCGGCGUGCUUCAUACAUGCAAGUCGAACGAGAAGCUGACUUCGGUCAGUGGAAAGUGGCGGACGGGUGAGUAAUAUGUAGGAAAUCUGCCUUUAGGAGGGGGACAACAGAGGGAAACUUCUGCUAAUACCCCAUAUGAGCGUAGCUGAAAUGCUAUUCUUGAAAACUCCGGUGCCUAAAGAUGAGCCUGCAUCUGAUUAGCUAGUUGGUAGUGUAAUGGACUACCAAGGCGACGAUCAGUAGCUGGUUUGAGAGGAUGAUCAGCCACAAUGGGACUGAGACACGGCCCAUACUCCUACGGGAGGCAGCAGUAGGGAAUUUUGCGCAAUGGGCGAAAGACUGACGCAGCAACGCCGCGUGAACGAUUAAGCCCUUCGGGGUGUAAAGUUCUGUCAGUGGGGACGAAACUUGACGGUACCCACAGAGGAAGCACCGGCUAACUCCGUG